AGCUACUGCCAUACCACCCUGAACACUCCCCGACUCAUCUGAUCUCGGAAGCUAAGCAGGUUUGAGCCUGGUUAGUACUUGAAUAGAAGAUAAGGAAUACAUGAGGAGAAGAAA
rnacentral:rRNA from 1 species